rnacentral:lncRNA from 1 species
AACAUGUGCAAACGCUCAAGGAACAGAAUUGGUUUCUCUAAAGCCUCGUACACACUUGCGAACAGAACGGCGAACCGAACGGAGAAGCGAACGGCGAGCCGCAAUCAGAACCGUACGCCGAACCUCCCUGCGAACACCGAUAUGUGGCGCGGUUGCUUGGUUCGCUGUUUUUCCGUCUCACGAGACUACGAUGUAUCGACAACAAGAAGUGGCAGCCGCUUAUAUUUAUGUUCAUCUUGCCUUUAAAAAAGAAGAAACAAAGAAAAAAAAGACGAUGAUGGCAAACUCAGAUGUAUAAUAGUAGAUCAGUGUCUGGUGGGAUUAGAUUAAUACAAGAUUUGAGAAGUCAAGAAUCAAAUGGAUAGUUUCAUAAUUUUACUGGAAUGCAUUCUGAUGAUUACGAUUUACUUUUAAAUUUAAUUGGACUCAAAAUCGCUAAAAAAAAUGUGUUUUUAACAGAAGCCAUAACCGUUCAUGAAAGAUUCUAUAAAUUUUAAAGUCAUAUUCUUUGAUCAUUC